rnacentral:pre_miRNA from 15 species
CGAAGAAGGCUUUUGCACUGGUUUCUCCAUGGGUGGGGAUUUGUUGCAUUACUUGUAGCUAUGUGUAGAGUAUUGCACUUGUCCCGGCCUGUGGAGGAAAGGAGGACUUGUCGCCAAUUCUG